rnacentral:lncRNA from 1 species
CCUAAAUCCUGAAGUGGAAGCUAGCUCCAGUUCAGAGCACCAAGUGAAGAGGACGGUCAGCUCAUGGUAACUUCGGCUGCCUUUGGAACUCCCCUCAGGACCAGCACUUUGUCCUGCGAACAGUGGCUAUUUCAAAUACGGUUGCCUGGGGACAAAUGUACAAGUCACAGCCAAGUGGUUUCCCCCAUCGCCUUAUCAAGCAUGGAGCCUGCCAGCCUGCUUCUACCUGGAUCCUAUUUGCCGUCUUGGGACAGAAUGCUAUUAGAUCAAUGUGUGCAGUGAUUACACUGGGAACAGAUGAAGGCUCACAGAACAUUCACCAACGUAGAUCGUAUGGUUUCUCAUGGAAGCCACUUGGGAAAGAUGGUGGAAUGACAACACGGAAGAAACUUGGUCGCGGAAUCAUGUCUUGGAGCUUUGUGCCUGGUAGAAACCAUCAUUUUGGACAUUCCAUGAGUGAGAAAUAAACUUCUAUUUUGUGACGACACCGAGAUUCUGGGGCUUAUCUAUUAUGACGGCUAGCAUUCACUAAAAUAGCCUGUAGAGCACUUAGCACAAUACCUGACACAAUACCCGCUUAAUAAAUGUUAGAUGUUGUUAAUAUCA